rnacentral:rRNA from 1 species
AGUGAAUAGAUACCCCGGGUAGUCCACGCCCUAAAACGAUGGAUACUCGACAUACGCGAUACACAGUGUGUGUCUGAGCGAAAGCAUUAAGUAUCCCACCUGGGAAGUACGACCGCAAGGUUGAAACUCAAAGGAAUUGGCGGGGGUCCGCACAAGCAGUGGAGCAUGUGGUUUAAUUCGAUGAUACGCGAGGAACCUUACCUGGGCUAGAAUGCUGGUUGACCGAGGGUGAAAGCUCUCUUUGUAGCAAUACACAACCAGUAAGGUGCUGCAUGGCUGUCGUCAGCUCGUGCCGUGAGGUGUUGGGUUAAGUCCCGCAACGAGCGCAACCCCCAUCACUAGUUGCCAUCAGGUAACGCUGGGAACUCUAGUGAAACUGCCGUCGUAAGACGUGAGGAAGGAGGGGAUGAUGUCAAGUCAUCAUGGCCUUUGUGCCCAGGGCUACACACGUGCUACAAUGGGGCGUACAAAGGGCUGCCACUUAGCGAUAAGGAGCCAAUCCCAAAAAACGCCUCUCAGUUCA